GAUGAACGCUGGCGGCGUGCCUAAUACAUGCAAGUCGAGCGAACGGACGAGAAGCUUGCUUCUCUGAUGUUAGCGGCGGACGGGUGAGUAACACGUGGAUAACCUACCUAUAAGACUGGGAUAACUUCGGGAAACCGGAGCUAAUACCGGAUAAUAUUUUGAACCGCAUGGUUCAAAAGUGAAAGACGGUCUUGCUGUCACUUAUAGAUGGAUCCGCGCUGCAUUAGCUAGUUGGUAAGCUAACGGCUUACCAAGGCAACGAUGCAUAGCCGACCUGAGAGGGGGAUCGGCCACACUGGAACUUGGACACGGUCCAGACUCCUACGGGAGGCAGCAGUAGGGAAUCUGCCGCAAUGGGCGAAAGCCUGACGGAGCAACGCCGCGUGAGUUAUGAAGGUCUUCGGAUCGUAAAACUCUGUUAUGAGGGAAGAACAUAUGUGUAAGGAACUGUGCACAUCUUGACGGUACCUAAUCAGAAAGCCACGGCUAACUACGUG
rnacentral:rRNA from 1 species